AACAGAUACUGUGAAAUGUGCACUACACUGUACCGCUGGAUGAUCUCCAGGCGAGCUCAGAUCGAAAUGAAGAGUAGCACCAGCCUACGUAUUGUUUAUGACUUCACUCCGUUACCGUCCACGCAGCAGCUGCUGUUCCAUCCAAUCCAUUCAAUACACGUCAACGAUUAUUGGCUGAACGUUAUCGUGCAAAGUUUGAAGUAGCCAAUGAAUAGUAAACUAAUCACGUUGUCCAUGCGUGUUUCGUAUUAAACGCAAGUAGUCAAGAUAUUGCAACUUAUCACCAAUUUAUUCUUACUCUUCCCGCGGAGAUUUUAUCGAGAAAUCAAACCACUCCUUAUUGGUAUUAAAUCUUUUACACUGGGUUGAAAGAUAUGUAUAACCUUAUAACUAGAUCAUCGCGAGCAUUUAUUCAAUCUCUAAUAUCGAUAGCGGACAUUAGAAUCAGAUUGAGGCCUACGAAAUUAAUUAAAGUACUGAACAGAUUACCUAAUGUUAAGUAUUUAUA